GCGAAGCUGACCGAGCACUCCGCGUGAGGGAUGAAGGCCUCUGGGCUGUAAACCUCUUUUAUCAAGGAAGAAGAUCUGACGGUACUUGAUGAAUAAGCCACGGCUAAUUCCGUGCCAGCAGCCGCGGUAAUACGGGAGUGGCAAGCGUUAUCCGGAAUUAUUGGGCGUAAAGCGUCCGCAGGCGGUCUUUUAAGUCUGUCGUCAAAGCGUGGAGCUUAACUCCAUUUCUGCGAUGGAAACUGGAAGACUAGAGUGUGGUAGGGGCAGAGGGAAUUCCCGGUGUAGCGGUGAAAUGCGUAGAUAUCGGGAAGAACACCAGUGGCGAAGGCGCUCUGCUGGGCCAUAACUGACGCUCAUGGACGAAAGCCAGGGGAGCGAAAGGGAUUAGAUACCCCUGUAGUCCUGGCCGUAAACGAUGAACACUAGGUGUCGGGGGAAUCGACCCCCUCGGUGUCGUAGCCAACGCGUUAAGUGUUCCGCCUGGGGAGUACGCACGCAAGUGUGAAACUCAAAGGAAUUGACGGGGGCCCGCACAAGCGGUGGAGUAUGUGGUUUAAUUCGAUGCAACGCGAAGAACCUUACCAG
rnacentral:rRNA from 1 species